rfam:Canis lupus familiaris chromosome 8, whole genome shotgun sequence.
ACCUGAGUGGCUCAGUGGUUGAGCAUCUGUCUUCGACUCUGGGCAUGAUCCCAGGGUCCUGGGAUCGAGUCCCACAUCAGGUU